AGGGGAGGGCCUACAGUUGCGGCCUGUGGGUGUACCGGCGGCCCCUUGGGAUAUUCGGACCUGCACCGACACACAUACGGAUAUUGCUCAAAAAGAUCACCCGCGCUAUCUGCGUGGACCGUCACUGACGGGUUUCUGUGCUGGUGGACCUACACAGGCGCCGUUUUGUCUUGCGGACACGGGAGCACCAUUGUAACUUAUUUAACGUGCCGGGAUAACGCCACGCCUGCCAGCGCAUUUAGCUAGUCUAUCUGUACAAGUCGAUUCGGCAUGCUACGGUAAGCUCGUAUUGAAGUCAAC